rnacentral:rRNA from 1 species
GACGAACGCUGGCGGCGUGCUUAACACAUGCAAGUCGAGCGGUAAGGCCCUUUCGGGGGUACACGAGCGGCGAACGGGUGAGUAACACGUGGGUGACCUGCCCUCAGCUCUGGGAUAAGCCUGGGAAACCGGGUCUAAUACUGGAUAUGACUCCAUGGCGCAUGUUGUGGGGUGGAAAGCCUUGUGCGGCUGAGGAUGGGCCCGCGGCCUAUCAGCUUGUUGGUGGGUGANGGCCUACCAAGGCGACGACGGGUAGCCGGCCUGAGAGGGCGACCGGCCACACUGGGACUGAGACACGGCCCAGACUCCUACGGGAGGCAGCAGUGGGGAAUCUUGCGCAAUGGGCGAAAGCCUGACGCAGCGACGCCGCGUGAGGGAUGACGGCCUCGG